rnacentral:tRNA from 1 species
AAGUUAUUAACCAAAAGAAGGUAUUGUGUUUUGAAAACAUAAAAAAGAGGUUAAAUUCCUCUAUAACUUU